CCUACGGGUGGCAGCAGUGGGGAAUAUUGCACAAUGGACGAGAGUCUGAACCAGCCAAGCCGCGUGAAGGAUGAAGGCCCUAGGUAUUGUAAACCUCUUUUAUAUGGGAAUAAAACAGGGGAUGCAUACCCUCUUGUAUGUACCAUAUGAAUAAGGAUCGGCUAACUCCUGGCCAGCAGCCGCGGUAAUACGGAGGAUCCGAGCGUUAUCCGGAUUUAUUGGGUUUAAGGGGUGCGUAGGCGGUUUUUUAAGUUAGUGGUUAAACGCCGGGGCUUCACCUUGGUCUGCCAUUAAAACUGGAAGACUCGAGUUCAGGCGAGGUAGGCGGAAUAAGUUGAGUAGCGGUGAAAUGCGUAGAUAUAACGUAGAACUCCGAUAGCGAAGGCAGCUUACCGGACUGCGACUGACGCUGAGGCACGAGAGCGUGGGUAGCGAACAGGAUUAGAUACCCCUGUAGUC
rnacentral:rRNA from 1 species